GACGAACGCUGGCGGCGUGCUUAACACAUGCAAGUCGAACGGAAAGGCCCUUCGGGGUACUCGAGUGGCGAACGGGUGAGUAACACGUGGGUAACCUGCCCUCAGCUUCGGGAUAACUCCGGGAAACCGGGGCUAAUACCGGAUAUUCAUUGUCUGCCGCAUGGUGGGUGGUGGCAAGUUUUUUCGACUGGGGAUGGGCCCGCGGCCUAUCAGCUUGUUGGGGGGGUGGUGGCCUACCAAGGCGUCGACGGGUAGCUGGCCUGAGAGAGCGACCGGCCACACUGGGACUGAGACACGGCCCAGACUCCUACUGGAGGCAGCAGUGGGGAAUAUUGCGCAAGGGGCGGAAGCCUGACGCAGCGACGCCGCGUGAGGGAUGACGGCCUUCGGGUUGUAAACCUCUUUCAGCAGGGACGAAUGUAGACGGUACCUGUAGAAGAAGCACCGGCCAACUACGUGCCAGCAGCCGCCGUAAUAC
rnacentral:rRNA from 1 species